AUCUUCUGCAUGCUAGUUGUUCGUUGUUUACUUGUUUUGCCUAUUAAGAGGGAUUUUGGAUGUCUGCUGUUCUCAGCUCUAUCUUCAUGCUUGUUACUGGAAUUGGAUUGUUGGAGUUCACAAAUCAGGCAGAUUAGCUGCCGAGUUUUGCUCUAUUUUACCCUUUAAAUAGUUGCUCAAUACAAUGGAAGAUGCUGCACAUUUCCAGCAGCACCAAAUGCUCGAGUUCAUCUUCGAUUCAUGCAUUCCUGGGUUUGCCAGCGACAAGCUUCAUGUGAACUCCAACACUGAUAGGUCAACAGCCUGACUCUGAUUUCGAAAUCAAGCAAUAUGAAACUUAUCUCAUCUCUCAGCCUCAUCCUGUUUGCUGUUUUACCAUCUCACGCUGUCUGCGAUCCAUUCCCCCUCUCAUGCUCCCUGAGCCAUAUUGCAGGAAUAGAAUUCUCUGCAGCUAGCAGGCAAGAAUGGAAGACCCAUAUUGCAGGAAAAGCUGCCUAGCUUUGUUGCACAAAUUUGCUUGUGUUCGUGCUCUACUCUUGAUUCCAGAUAUUCAUGUCAUCGUGUUUGUGUAUUCAGGUGCUGGUUGAGUGGGACAAGGUGAAGAAUUAACAAGACUGAGCAUUACAAGGGAUAAUGGGACGAUUCAAUUCUCGUCGCCACAAACGUGUCAACAAGGAUGCAGCUUCAGAUGUGAAGGUAGUUGUCCAUUAGAACUGAAGAAAGGACACCUGACAUUCUCGAGGGAGAAGAAAAUAACAUGAGAAGGACCGGAGCAGCUGCUGCAUGGCCUAAUUAGCAGCUUGUGUUGACUGCUGACUUUAGUUUGCUAGGCAUCUAGAUUUAGCAUUUCAACUAUCUGAUGUAUGAGUAACUUCAACAAUGUAUCAAGAUUUUCAAUGUAACACCUACUUGAAUGGUUAAAUGAGAUACUAUUGACAAUAAGUUGAUGCAUUUUACUUUGUGAGAUUGAUCUA